AACGAACGCUGGCGGCAUGCCUAACACAUGCAAGUCGAACGAGACCUUCGGGUCUAGUGGCGCACGGGUGCGUAACGCGUGGGAACCUGCCCUUAGGUUCGGAAUAACUCCCCGAAAGGGGUGCUAAUACCGGAUAAUUUCUUCUGACCAAAGAUUUAUCGCCUUUGGAUGGGCCCGCGUUGGAUUAGCUUGUUGUUAGGGUAAAAGCAUACCAAGGCGACGAUCCAUAGCUGGUCUGAGAGGAUGAUCAGCCACACUGGGACUGAGACACGGCCCAGACUCCUACGGGAGGCAGCAGUGGGGAAUAUUGGAAAAUGGGCGAAAGCCUGAUCCAGCAAUGCCGCGUGAGUGAUGAAGGCCUUAGGGUUGUAAAGCUCUUUUACCCGGGAUGAUAAUGACAGUACCGGGAGAAUAAGCACCGGCUAACUCCGUG
rnacentral:rRNA from 1 species